rnacentral:rRNA from 1 species
CAUGCAAGUCGAACGGUAACAGGGAAGCAGCUUGCUGCUUNGCUGACGAGUGGCGGACGGGUGAGUAAUGUCUGGGAAACUGCCUGAUGGAGGGGGAUAACUACUGGAAACGGUAGCUAAUACCGCAUAACGUCGCAAGACCAAAGAGGGGGACCUUCGGGCCUCUUGCCAUCGGAUGUGCCCAGAUGGGAUUAGCUAGUAGGUGGGGUAACGGCUCACCUAGGCGACGAUCCCUAGCUGGUCUGAGAGGAUGACCAGCCACACUGGAACUGAGACACGGUCCAGACUCCUACGGGAGGCAGCAGUGGGGAAUAUUGCACAAUGGGCGCAAGCCUGAUGCAGCCAUGCCGCGUGUAUGAAGAAGGCCUUCGGGUUGUAAAGUACUUUCAGCGGGGAGGAAGGGAGUAAAGUUAAUACCUUUGCUCAUUGACGUUACCCGCAGAAGAAGCACCGGCUAACUCCGUGCCAGCAGCCGCGGUAAUACGGAGGGGUGCAAGCGUUAAUCGGAAUUACUGGGCGUAAAGCGCACGCAGGCGGUUUGUUAAGUCAGAUGUGAAAUCCCCGGGCUCAACCUGGGAACUGCAUCUGAUACUGGCAAGCUUGAGUCUCGUAGAGGGGGGUAGAAUUCCAGGUGUAGCGGUGAAAUGCGUAGAGAUCUGGAGGAAUACCGGUGGCGAAGGCGGCCCCCUGGACGAAGACUGACGCUCAGGUGCGAAAGCGUGGGGAGCAAACAGGAUUAGAUACCCUGGUAGUCCACGCCGUAAACGAUGUCGACUUGGAGGUUGUGCCCUUGAGGCGUGGCUUCCGGAGCUAACGCGUUAAGUCGACCGCCUGGGGAGUACGGCCGCAAGGUUAAAACUCAAAUGAAUUGACGGGGGCCCGCACAAGCGGUGGAGCAUGUGGUUUAAUUCGAUGCAACGCGAAGAACCUUACCUGGUCUUGACAUCCACNGAANUUUUCAGAGAUGNGAAUGUGCCUUCGGGAACNGUGAGACAGGUGCUGCAUGGCUGUCGUCAGCUCGUGUUGUGAAAUGUUGGGUUAAGUCCCGCAACGAGCGCAACCCUUAUCCUUUGUUGCCAGCGGUCCGGCCGGGAACUCAAAGGAGACUGCCAGUGAUAAACUGGAGGAAGGUGGGGAUGACGUCAAGUCAUCAUGGCCCUUACGACCAGGGCUACACACGUGCUACAAUGGCGCAUACAAAGAGAAGCGACCUCGCGAGAGCAAGCGGACCUCAUAAAGUGCGUCGUAGUCCGGAUUGGAGUCUGCAACUCGACUCCAUGAAGUCGGAAUCGCUAGUAAUCGUGGAUCAGAAUGCCACGGUGAAUACGUUCCCGGGCCUUGUACACACCGCCCGUCACACCAUGGGAGUGGGUUGCAAAAGAAGUAGGUAGCUUAACCUUCGGGAGGGCGCUACC